rnacentral:lncRNA from 1 species
CUUCGGUGUCACGGACAGUCGCACUCGCUUUUAGUCACUGGCGAAGUUUCCUCUGCCCGCCCGCCAACUCCCACCGCCCGCCCCGCCUCUAUUCCCCGGCCAGAAACCCAAGCACAAAAGAGUAUUUGAAGAGAGCAGCUCGGAAACGGGAGAUUGCAGUGCCAGGCCGAGAACUGAGCAGGGAGAAUAACCUGUCUGCUAG